CCAGUUGUGGCCUAAUGGUUAGAGAGUUGGACUUGUAAUCCGAAGGUGAACCUGAAGGUCGCGGGUUUGAGUCUCAGGCCGGCAGGU